GACGAACGCUGGCGGCGUGCUUAACACAUGCAAGUCGAGCGACGCUCUUCCUUCGGGGAGAUGACGGAGCGGCGAACGGGUGAGUAACACGUGGGCAACCUGCCCCUAGCUCUGGGACAACACCGGGAAACCGGUGCUAAUACCGGAUACGACAUCGAGCGGCAUCUCUCGAUGUGGAAAGUUUUUUCGGCUAGGGAUGGGCCCGCGGCCUAUCAGCUUGUUGGUGGGGUAAUGGCCCACCAAGGCGACGACGGGUAGCCGGCCUGAGAGGGCGACCGGCCACACGGGGACUGAGACACGGCCCAGACUCCUACGGGAGACAGCAGUGGGGAAUAUUGCGCAAUGGGCGAAAGCCUGACGCAGCGACGCCGCGUGAGGGAUGACGGCCUUCGGGUUGUAAACCUCUUUCAGCAGGGACGAAUUCAGACGGUACCUGCAGAAGAAGCACCGGCCAACUACGUG
rnacentral:rRNA from 1 species